rnacentral:rRNA from 1 species
UACAGAGGUCUCAACCGUUGUUCGGAUUCAUUGGGCGUAAAGGGUGCGUAGGCGGUGUGGCAAGUCGGGAGUGAAAUCUCUGGGCUCAACUCAGAGACUGCUUCCGAAACUGCUGUGCUGGAGUGUGGGAGAGGCGCGUGGAAUUGCAGGUGUAGCGGUGAAAUGCGUAGAUAUCUGCAGGAACACCCGUGGCGAAAGCGGCGCGCUGGACCACUACUGACGCUGAGGAACGAAAGCUAGGGGAGCAAACAGG